rnacentral:rRNA from 1 species
GACAGGGGUCUCGAGCGUUAAUCGGAAUUACUGGGCUUAAAGGGUGCGUAGGUGGGUCCGCAAGUGCCUUGUGAAAUCCCCCGGCUCAACCGGGGAACUGCGGGGCAUACUGCGGGUCUUGAGGACUGGAGAGGAGACUGGAAUUUACGGUGUAGCGGUGAAAUGCGUAGAUAUCGUAAGGAAGACCAGUGGCGAAGGCGGGUCUCUGGACAGUUCCUGACGCUGAGGCACGAAGGUCAGGGGAGCAAACGGG